rnacentral:rRNA from 1 species
AGCUGAUCAUUGGGUGUAAAGCGUGCGCAGGCGGUUUUGUAAGACAGAGGUGAAAUCCCCGGGCUCAACCUGGGAACUGCCUUUGUGACUGCAAGGCUGGAGUGCGGCAGAGGGGGACGGAAUUCCGCGUGUAGCAGUGAAAUGCGUAGAUAUGCGGAGGAACACCGAUGGCGAAGGCAAUCCCCUGGGCCUGCACUGACGCUCAUGCACGAAAGCGUGGGGAGCAAACA